rnacentral:lncRNA from 1 species
ACAUUCACAAGUGACAGCAGCCGACAUCAAAAUGGAAGCCGCGCUGAAGCGGCAACCCUGGUGACAGUGAGCGAGCAAGCGCCGGCGCUUAGUGACGUGGUACCAUGGGGGUGAUGCUGCGAGACAUUGCAGCCAUGGGGCCUCUGCGCAGUGCAGCACGUGGCGUGACUUGGAGCUAAAGCAAGCAAGAGAGACUC